rnacentral:rRNA from 1 species
UACAGAGGGGGCAAGCGUUGUUCGGAAUUACUGGGCGUAAAGGGCGCGUAGGCGGCCUGUUAAGUCGAACGUGAAAUCCCCGGGCUCAACCCGGGAACUGCGUCCGAUACUGGCAGGCUUGAAUUCGGGAGAGGGAUGUGGAAUUCCAGGUGUAGCGGUGAAAUGCGUAGAUAUCUGGAGGAACACCGGUGGCGAAGGCGGCAUCCU